UAUGUUGUUGGUCAAACUUCCUUGAUGUUGUAGACUGUGAAAUUGAAAAAGCCUUGUUAAUAUGUUCUUUCUGAAACAAUCAUGAAACAACUGUAUUUGGAAAUAACUAACACCACCCAAUUAAUAAAACAG